rnacentral:rRNA from 1 species
UCAGACGAUGCGUCAUGCAUAUCAAUAAGCGGAGGAAAAGAAACUAACAAGGAUUCCCCUAGUAACGGCGAGUGAAGCGGGAAGAGCUCAAAUUUGAAAUCUUAAAGGGUUUCCCUUUACGAAUUGUAGUUUAAAGAAGUGUUUUCUGUUGAGGUUUUGGUAAAAGUUCUUUGGAAUAGGACAUCAUAGAGGGUGAGAAUCCCGUAUUUGACCUUUACUUUCAACUUUGUGGAUACACUUUCAAAGAGUCGGAUUGUUUGGGAAUGCAGUCCAAAAUGGGUGGUAAAUUUCAUCUAAAGCUAAAUAUUGGCGAGAGACCGAUAGCGAACAAGUACCGUGAGGGAAAGAUGAAAAGAACUUUGAAAAGAGAGUUAAACAGUACGUGAAAUUGUCAAAAGGGAAGCGUUUGACACCAGUGUUGUUUUUCUGAAAAUCAAUUAAAGAACUGUUUAUGCUAAGUUGUUUAGACUUUAUCAGCUAUACUGUUUAGUUUUGAGCUUUUCUUUAAUGCACUUUUCAGUUAACAAGUCAACAUCAAUUUCUUUUGCUGUAAAAAAGCUUGAGGAAGGUGGCUUGAGAUUCGUCUUAAGUGUUUAUAGCCUCUUGCCUAUGCAGUCGGAGAGAUUGAGGUCUGCAGCGUAGAUCCUUCGGGGCUAAAUGCAUUUGUGCUAAGUUAUAGCAUUUUAUAGACAACUGGUUGACUAUGAUUUGUCUUGUAGCUUACUCGCUUAUGCUAUUUUACCUACGCUUAGGAUGUUGAAUCUGUGCGAGACUAC